rnacentral:rRNA from 1 species
GGGACACGUGGUAUCCUGUCUGAAUAUGGGGGGACCAUCCUCCAAGGCUAAAUACUCCUGACUGACCGAUAGUGAACCAGUACCGUGAGGGAAAGGCGAAAAGAACCCCGGCGAGGGGAGUGAAAAAGAACCUGAAACCGUGUACGUACAAGCAGUGGGAGCACGCUUAGGCGUGUGACUGCGUACCUUUUGUAUAAUGGGUCAGCGACUUAUAUUCUGUAGCAAGGUUAACCGAAUAGGGGAGCCGAAGGGAAACCGAGUCUUAACUGGGCGUUAAGUUGCAGGGUAUAGACCCGAAACCCGGUGAUCUAGCCAUGGGCAGGUUGAAGGUUGGGUAACACUAACUGGAGGACCGAACCGACUAAUGUUGAAAAAUUAGCGGAUGACUUGUGGCUGGGGGUGAAAGGCCAAUCAAACCGGGAGAUAGCUGGUUCUCCCCGAAAGCUAUUUAGGUAGCGCCUCGUGAAUUCAUCUCCGGGGGUAGAGCACUGUUUCGGCAAGGGGGUCAUCCCGACUUACCAACCCGAUGCAAACUGCGAAUACCGGAGAAUGUUAUCACGGGAGACACACGGCGGGUGCUAACGUCCGUCGUGAAGAGGGAAACAACCCAGACCGCCAGCUAAGGUCCCAAAGUCAUGGUUAAGUGGGAAACGAUGUGGGAAGGCCCAGACAGCCAGGAUGUUGGCUUAGAAGCAGCCAUCAUUUAAAGAAAGCGUAAUAGCUCACUGGUCGAGUCGGCCUGCGCGGAAGAUGUAACGGGGCUAAACCAUGCACCGAAGCUGCGGCAGCGACACUAUGUGUUGUUGGGUAGGGGAGCGUUCUGUAAGCCUGUGAAGGUGUACUGUGAGGUAUGCUGGAGGUAUCAGAAGUGCGAAUGCUGACAUAAGUAACGAUAAAGCGGGUGAAAAGCCCGCUCGCCGGAAGACCAAGGGUUCCUGUCCAACGUUAAUCGGGGCAGGGUGAGUCGACCCCUAAGGCGAGGCCGAAAGGCGUAGUCGAUGGGAAACAGGUUAAUAUUCCUGUACUUGGUGUUACUGCGAAGGGGGGACGGAGAAGGCUAUGUUGGCCGGGCGACGGUUGUCCCGGUUUAAGCGUGUAGG